AUUGAACGCUGGCGGCAUGCCUAACACAUGCAAGUCGAACGGUAACAGGGGCUUCGGCCCGCUGACGAGUGGCGGACGGGUGAGUAAUACGUAGGAAUCUACCUUUUAGUGGGGGAUAACUUAGGGAAACUUAAGCUAAUACCGCAUAAUCACUACGGUGGAAAGCAGGGGAUCGUAAGACCUUGCGCUGAUAGAUGAGCCUACGUCGGAUUAGCUUGUUGGUAGGGUAAAGGCCUACCAAGGCGACGAUCCGUAGCUGGUCUGAGAGGACGACCAGCCACACUGGGACUGAGACACGGCCCAGACUCCUACGGGAGGCAGCAGUGGGGAAUAUUGGACAAUGGGGGCAACCCUGAUCCAGCAAUGCCGCGUGUGUGAAGAAGGCCUGGUU
rnacentral:rRNA from 1 species